rnacentral:rRNA from 1 species
AUUGAACGCUGGCGGAAUGCUUUACACAUGCAAGUCGAACGGCAGCACGGGGGCAACCCUGGUGGCGAGUGGCGAACGGGUGAGUAAUACAUCGGAACGUGCCCGGUCGUGGGGGAUAACGUAGCGAAAGUUACGCUAAUACCGCAUACGAUCUGAGGAUGAAAGCGGGGGACCUUCGGGCCUCGCGCGAUCGGAGCGGCCGAUGUCAGAUUAGGUAGUUGGUGGGGUAGAGGCCUACCAAGCCGACGAUCUGUAGCUGGUCUGAGAGGACGACCAGCCACACUGGGACUGAGACACGGCCCAGACUCCUACGGGAGGCAGCAGUGGGGAAUUUUGGACAAUGGGCGCAAGCCUGAUCCAGCCAUUCCGCGUGCAGGACGAAGGCCUUCGGGUUGUAAACUGCUUUUGUAUGGAACGAAAAGGCUCUGGCUAAUACCUGGGGCUCAUGACGGUACCGUAAGAAUAAGCACCGGCUAACUACGUG